GCCGAAGUGGUGGAAUCUGGUAGACACGCUAUCUUGAGGGGGUAGUAGGCUAGCCUGUGCGGGUUCAAAUCCCGCCUUCGGCACCA
rnacentral:tRNA from 1 species